rnacentral:rRNA from 1 species
AUUGAACGCUGGCGGCAGGCUUAACACAUGCAAGUCGAGUGGGCGAGGUUGCUUCGGUAACUGAGCUAGCGGCGGACGGGUGAGUAAUGCUUAGGUAUCUGCCUAUUAGUGGGGGACAACAUUCCGAAAGGAAUGCUAAUACCGCAUACGCCCUACGGGGGAAAGCAGGGGAUCUUCGGACCUUGCGCUAAUAGAUGAGCCUAAGUCAGAUUAGCUAGUUGGUGGGGUAAAGGCCUACCAAGGCGACGAUCUGUAGCGGGUCUGAGAGGAUGAUCCGCCACACUGGGACUGAGACACGGCCCAGACUCCUACGGGAGGCAGCAGUGGGGAAUAUUGGACAAUGGGCGGAAGCCUGAUCCAGCCAUGCCGCGUGUGUGAAGAAGGCCUUUUGGUUGUAAAGCACUUUAAGCGAGGAGGAGGCUACUUGGAUUAAUACUCUAGGAUAGUGGACGUUACUCGCAGAAUAAGCACCGGCUAACUCUGUGCCAGCAGCCGCGGUAACAC